rnacentral:rRNA from 1 species
UACGAGUGCCCCGAGCGUUAUCCGGAAUCAUUGGGCGUAAAGGGUGUGUAGGCGGUUUUCUUAGUCUUCUGUCAAAUUCUUCGGCUUAACCGGGGGCUCGCAGAGGAAACGGGAAAACUAGAGGAUGGGAGAGGUGAAUGGAACUCAUGGUGUAGGGGUGAAAUCCGUUGAUAUCAUGGGGAACACCAGUGGCGAAGGCGGCGACCUGGGCCAAUACUGACGCUGAGGUGCGAAAGCGUGGGGAGCAAACAGG